rnacentral:lncRNA from 1 species
GUGCGUGCCAACAGCGCGGCCUUUAGAUCGGGCUCCACGCCUCCGUGGACGAGACAAAGGACAAACCGGCCCAGUUGCGCGAUGGCGUCUUGUGCGUCCUCUCGGGGGAGAACGAGCAACGUGCCGAGCGACCCCUCGAUGACGGUGACAAGGUAUUUCCGGUCCAGGCCCAGGUAGAUGGCGGCGGCGACGGCGUCGGCCCCGACGGCGCCGUAUAAAAGGUCGACGAGGAAAGACACGCUGUCGGCGCGGAAAGGAAUGCCGACGCGGUAGACGAGGCGGAACGGAGGCGGGACGUCGCCAUCCGGCUGGUUGUCGACAGAGUCGGGCUCUGCGCGGGCAAAGAGCCCGGCAAAGUAGGUCGCCUGGGCGAGGACCGCGCGGUGGGCGGCAACGUCGUGAGCGAUUGCGCGCUUGUCGCUGGCGCCCAUGUCCAUGGUGUCCCCGGCAGACACGCGGAGGACACAGUCGCAGUAGCGGCGGCGAAUGGCCGCGAGUUUGUGGCGCCCCAUAGGUUGUUGUGUGUUGGGGUCUCGCUCGAAAAGAUGGAAAAAAGACGGCAACCCGCCCUUUUUGUCCUCGCAAAAAUUUUGGCGUGCGCCUCGGGGGUCGGCUGCGCGCCUGCCGGUUGGCCCCGCGCUCAUUUAAAUAAAAAAAGGAACAAGGAAAACACACGAAAAAUAAAACCUCGA